ACUCUACAGUGAUGUAUUCAACGAUUCUAUAGCUUUAGCUAAUAAUCCUAGGUAAUCUUUGAAAUGUCAUUAUGAGACGGAUAGACCAUUGCAAUUGUUGGUCUUCAAUGAGAAAUUCCUAGUAAGCACGAGUCAUCAGCUUGCAUUGACUAUGUCCCUACCCUUUUUACACACCAUCCAUCACUCAUAUCGAUUGAAUAGUUCGGUGAAGUGUUCAGAUCAAGGUGACAUGGAUGGUUCACUGCUUGUGACAUCGUGAAAAGCCCAUUGAACAUUAUCAUUUAGAGGAAAGAAAAGUCGCAACAAGGUUUUCGUAAGUGAAUCUAUGAAAGGAUCAUUAUUGAAACCAACUCAAUGAAUGACCCAUGAAUGCGUUAAUGAAACACCAAAAGGGUAUGGGUGCCUUCGUGCCUUAAGCCCCUUCUAGUCUCUAGCAUGUGUGAUGAUUGCUUUGUUUUGCCUCCUUGGUAGAUAAAACGAUUGGCAUUGUCACCUGUGGUGGAAUAAUGAACCUUUGACAUGAAUCAUACUAAGGAACCAGAUUGAAAAAGUGCACCUAUGCCAUCACCAUCCCAUUUAUGGUGUAUGGGUGGGUGGCACAAUGGUGAGUCAAUAGGCUAGGAAACUCAUAAGGUGAAAGGAAGCUGAUUGGCGAGAUCUUUUAUAAGUGCACUACCAACCAACCUAGAUCUUCUGCAAAGGGUUCAAGUGCAAGCAUGCCUAUCAAGACCCAAAAGAUAGUGAACAAUGCCUAAGCAAGGUGAAACCAGAGGAAACUCUGGUGGAGGCCCGCAACGAUAUUGACAUGCAAAUCAUUCAUCUGACUUGGGUAUAGGGGUGAAAGACUAAUUGAACUGUCUAGUAGCUGGUUCCCUCCAAAGUUUCCUUUGGGAUAACUAAACCUCUUAGCGAGUUCUAUUAGGUAAAGCCAAUGAUUAGAGGAUUAGGGGUGCAAUGUCCUCAACCUAUUCUCAAACUUUAAAUAUUUAGGACAACACUACAGCCUCGUUGAGCCAUGCCACAAAAUCAAGAGCUCUAAGUGGGCCAUUUUUGGUAAGCAAAAUAGGCGAUAUGAGAUAAAUAGAAAGCUAGGUUAUGUUGCCUAACAGUGCAUUAACCUAAAACCGAUAAAGGGCAUUGGUCGAUUAAGAUAAUAGGAUAGUGGUCAUGGAAGUUGAAAUCUACUAAGGAGUGUAUAACAACUUACCUGCUGAAUCAAUUAGCACCAAAAAUGGAUGGCACUUAUGGGCACUACCCAUACCCAACCAUUGGGGCAAGGGUCAAACCCCAAUAAGUAGGAGGGCAUGGCAGUCAUCGCAAAACCUAGGACGUGAACCUAGACAAAAUAACCAUCAGUGCAUAUCUUAGUGGUAGUAGCAAAUAUUCAAAUAAGACUUUGAAGGCCAAAAAGGGGAAAAGUUCCAUGUGAAUGACACUUGUACAUGAGUUAGUUAAUCCUAAGAGAUAGGGUAAGUCCGUCUGAUAGUGCAUCCAAUGAGAGCUUUAAAAGAGAAUUAGGUUAAAAUUCUUGACACGAUGGCUAACAGCAAUGUUAGGGAGUCCAAAGAGUCAACGAGGGCUUUAGGAAGCGUUAUCUUUUCUGUUUAAGGGCCUACCCACCCUAUAAAUGGCUUAGCUAAAGGUAGGGUCCAAUGAUUGGAAGAGCAUCAUACAUUAUAUGGUGUUCAGUGCACCCCUGACGGCCUUGAAAAUCUAGAAGAUUGAGUCCCGUCCAUGUUCGAUUGUACUCAUAACUACAUCAGAUCUCCAAAGUGAACAACCUCUCGUCAACAGAAUAAUGUAGGCAAGAGAAGUAGGCAAAAUUAAUCUGUAACCUUAAGAAAAAGAUUGGCUCUGAGGGUUAGGCAUAGGGUCCCAGUCUCAAACCUAUUAGCUAUUGGUGCAUUGUUUGAGUUACUUUUGUAGCAAGAAUAGGUCACUGUAUGCUAGUAGGGGAACAGAUUGGGAAUGACUCCUUCGAAGGCUUUCUUCGAAUGAUGAACAGUUAACUCAAAAUUUGUACAGACAAAGGGAAUUUGACUAUUUAAAAUAAAGCAUUACGAUGGUCCUUGUGGAUGCUCACGCAAUGUGAUUUUUGCCCCUUGCUCUAAAUGUCAAAGUGAAAAAAUUUAACCAAACACGGGUAAAGGGUAGGAGUAACUAUGACUCUCUUAAGGUAGCCAAAUGCCUCAUCAUCUAAUUUGUGACGUGCAUGAAUGAAUUAACAAGAUUCCUACUAACCUUGUCUACUAUCCAGUGAAAACACAGCCAAGGGAAUGGGCUAGGUAGAAUCAGUGGGAAAAGAAGACCCUGUUGAGCCUGACUCUAGUUUGACUUUGUGAAAUGACUUGAAAAGUGUAGGAUAAGUGGGAGCCUUCAGGCAAAAUUGAAAUACCACUACUUUUACAUUAUUUUACUUAUUUUAUGUAUCAAAGGUGAGGUACGACCCCUUCUUUCGGACCUAAGGCUAACCUCGAUCGGUUGAUCUGGGCAAAAGACAUUGUCAGGUAGGGAGUUUAGCUAGGGUAGCACAUCUGUUAAAAGAUAAUGUUGGUAUCCUAAGAUUUGCUCAAUAAGAAUAGAAAUCUUAUGUUGAACAAAGGGGUAAAAACUUAUUUGAUUCUAAUUUUUAGUACAAAUUUAAACUGUAAAAGCAUGACCUAUUGAUCAUUUAGACCUUCAAAAUUUGAUGCUAGAGGUGUCAAAAAAGUUACAAUAAGGAUAACUGGCUUAUGGCAACCAAGUGUUCAUAGCGAUGUUGCUUUUUGGUUCUUCAAUGUUAGCUCUUCCUAUCAUUGUGAAGUAGAAUUCACUAAGUGUUGGAUUGUUCACCCAUCAAUAAUGAACAUGAGUUGGGUUGAAACCAUCAUGAGACAAGUUAUUUUUACCUUAUUGAUGGCAAUAUCAUAAUAGUAAUUCAACCUAGUACAAGAGAAACCAUUGACUUACACAAUUGAUCAUCAUGCUUGGCUAAAAAGAUAGUGGUGUAAAGUUACUAUGUGCUAGAUUAUGAUUAAACGUCUCUAAGUUAGAAUCUAGGCUAAAAGCAAUGCAUGCGCCCACUGCCUAAUUGU
rnacentral:rRNA from 1 species